rnacentral:rRNA from 1 species
CCAGACUCCUACGGGAGGCAGCAGUGAGGAAUAUUGGUCAAUGGGCGAGAGCCUGAACCAGCCAAGUCGCGUGAAGGACGACGGUUCUAUGGAUUGUAAACUUCUUUUGUAGAGGAAUAAUGGCAGCUACGCGUAGCUGAGAUGCAUGUACUCUACGAAUAAGUAUCGGCUAACUCCGUGCCAGCAGCCGCGGUAAUACGGAGGAUGCGAGCGUUAUCCGGAUUUAUUGGGUUUAAAGGGUGCGUAGGUGGGCUGUUAAGUCCGCGGUGAAAGUUUGUCGCUUAACGAUAAAAUUGCCGUUGAAACUGGUAGUCUUGAGUAUAGAUGAAGUAGGCGGAAUGCGUGGUGUAGCGGUGAAAUGCAUAGAGAUCACGCAGAACUCCGAUUGCGAAGGCAGCUUACUAAGGUAUAACUGACACUGAAGCACGAAAGCGUGGGUAUCAAACAGGAUUAGAUACCCUGGUAGUCCACACAGUAAACGAUGAAUACUAGAUUUUUGCGAUAUAGUGUAAGAGUCUAAGCGAAAGCGAUAAGUAUUCCACCUGGGGAGUACGCCGGCAACGGUGAAACUCAAGGAAUUGACGGGGGCCCGCACAAG